GGUUAUAUCGAUGAACACUGGUUCCCGUAAGAUCACCAAAGUUAAGCAACGUUAAGGCUCGUCAGUACCUAGAUGGGUAACAGCUUGGGAAUACCAGGCGCUGUAAG